GUGAGUAUUGACUCUCCAUGUCAGACAUUUCGACAGUAUCUGCUGACAGGUGUCUGUAUCAAUCAUGAGAGCAGUCCUGAGGACAUGACCCAUGCACCAAGAAGAGAUGCAGUCUUGUCCUGAAUUAUAGCAAUGAAGCACUCAACACAAUUGUGGCCAGGUCAGCUUCGCACUUCACUGAUCCUCGGCAGGUCAUUCAGGCCAAUUUCAGUCCCCCCAGACGGCCAGCAUUCCCUGGCAGCCAGUAUAACACAUGAGAACUAGUUUAUUCUUUAACUGACAAAGCAAGGACGGUAUUUCCUUUAUUUGAUGUAGCUAGAGAGGAUCGCUCUUAAAAUUGAUAAACUUUGGUAGAUGUUUAUCAAUUUCUUUAGCUUGAAGAGAUGGUAAAAUGUGAUAGCUGCACACAAGGUUAUGUGCUUGUCCUUUUCUUUCAAAGCCUUGUCGUGAUGAUCUUGGUUACCUUGCAGCACUGUGCUGUUAAAUCAUCCAACAGGGAGUGAUGUAACAUCAGACAUGUGCAGAACCUGCUUGAGUGGCACCCGAAAUUGCUGUGCUGGUUUGCGGGGAUGAGUCAUAGGAGGAAGUCUCUAGAAGAGUAUUGCACAAAGCAUAAAGGAUCUGAGACAUGGUGCAAAACAGAGAAGAAAGUCUGGGGUCAGUCUGUCUGUCCCCUCACUGCAGAAGUGAGCAGCAUUGCCAUUAACAAAACAAACAACUACAAAUCCUACUUUUUCUGAUUGAAGGAAACCAAAGACCGAUCUGUUCUGAGUGACAUCAAAUAGGAAGCAAUCAGUUAUAUCUUUACAGUUUUGGAGACAAAUAUUGAAACGAUCAUGAAUAUAAAUCUCUUGAGAAGUUUCUUUGUAAAACAUCUAUCAAUGCAAAACAACGUAUCAGUUUCUGCAAGACAGGAUAUUUAAAAAAAGCCCUAUAAAACAUUAGUGCAGCUUUUUAAUGUGAUGGUGAGAAAACUGAGGCUGGCUUUAAUUUCUACCUGACAAGAAGGAUAUCACAGAACAAAGAGAUUUCUGUAUUUCUGGCAAAAUGCAGUCAUUUUCAGAACCCGAUACCUGGUGUUAGCAGAGCUAUCUGGGCCUGAAAUGUGUGUGGGUAUUGAGUGUAUGCUCAGCUUACUCUGUAAAGUUGAGGACAGAAGAGAAUUCCAUCUUUUUUACAAGCACUUCAGACAGCUGAAUGUGCUUUACUUCCACAAAGACAUUACCUGCGUGCAACCUGAGCAAUUGCAAGAAUAAUGAUUCCUCCAGUCACAGUGAGGAUCUUUUUCUGAAUUGUUUUCAUGUCAGUCAAGAUUAGGCAAAUAGCAAAUAAUUACUAAAAUGUUUGCAGAAAACUG
rnacentral:lncRNA from 1 species